rnacentral:lncRNA from 10 species
CGCGGCCUUUGUCUCUGGCUCAGGCCGGAGCCUGAGAUCCAUCUCUACUGUCCCGCGUGUUGCCCCUCGGGAGCACUAGGUGACUUUGUCACAUCCUCUGUUGCCCUGAGAUCUGGAGGUACUGGGAAAUGCAUAGCUAAGAUGCCAGGACAUCCUGGAAACCAGGAAAUGUUUGUCUGCAUCUUGUUAUUGGGCCACAAGAACACACAGCCAGACCCAGUUUGGUCCAGGAACAACAUCUGGCAAGCUAGCCAAGAGUCACUGAAAUGGUGCUGCACUCAGUGGCCCGUGAUUGUGGCGAGAUGGUCAUUUGGAGACUCCCAGAAGCUGCUGGAUAAGAUUGUCCUGGGGACUCUCCCAGGGGCUAUUCCAUGUGCAAAAACCACAUGUCCCUCUCACCACUGGGGAAGAAUGGUGAUCAGGCAGGAGUGGAUGCACUCAAAGGGGGUCUUGCUCUGUCACCCAGGCUGAAGUGCAGUGGUGCGAUCUUGGCUCACUGCAUCCUCCAUCUCCCAGGUUCAAGCAAUUCUCUGCCUGAGCCUCCCGAGUAGCUGGGAUUACAGGCACCUGCCACCGCGCCCAGCUAAUUUUUUUGUAUUUUUAGUAUCUAAAGGAUGCAGCCCUCCCCUAUGUAGACUGGUUGCUGUUCAUGGAUGGAAGCAGCUUAGUCACCAACAAAGGAGAAAUGCUGCCUAUGCUGUAGUAACUCUCUUGGAGGUAAUAGAGGCAAGAACACUCCCGACAGGGACUUCUGCGGAAAAGGCUGAGUUAGUCGCUUUUACCAGAGCCUUGCAACUGUCCCAAGGUUUGCUUCUUAGAGGAAUGACACAGAUUUUGCAGGAGACCGCCACCCAUUUCAGCCUGGUGAUCAAGUGCUGCUGAAGGAAUGGAGGGAAGCUGAUCCUGCCCAACAACUACAGGAAAAAUGGAAAGGGCCCUACGAUGUGCUGUUGACUACUGACUUGGCACUGAAGCUGACAGGCAUCAAACCCUGGGUUCAUCAUAUGAAAAGUCUUUCUCUAGGACCUGGAAAUGAUUGCUCGGAAAUGUAAACAGCAAAAAAGUUAGAGCCCUAUCGCACAGCUUGCUCCAAGUUUCAAAAUUACCUUCUGUCCCUCCUGGACUUGGGACCAUUAUUUUUCCUUCAGAUAUGCCAGUCAGCAACCACAGAUGGCCUCCCCAAUUACCAGACUCACUCAGACAUUGCUGCCUUCUCCAGCCUCUUUAAACUUUAAAGGCCAGCAGAGAAUGCUAUGUUUCAGGAUGGUGAUUGGUGGUUUUCACUUUGGACCAUAAGCAUCCGUAUUGUGGUAAGAGUGUUGGGUUGAGUGACUCAGUGCUGUGCCUGCUUUCUCCACCUGAGUGCUACUGAUGAUGGGUCUGGGGGAGCAGCAUGAGCAUGCACAGGAUGGGCAUGGUGGCUUAUGUCUAUAAUCCCAGCACUUUAGGGGGGCCAAGGUAGCCACAUCACUUGAGAUCAGGAGUUUGAGACCAGUGUGGGCAACAUGACAAAAUUCCAUCUCUACAAAACUAAAAAAAAAAUAAGCCAGGUGUGGUGGCUUGCACCUGUACUCCCAGCUAUUUAGGAAGCUAAGGUGGGAGGAUCAAUUGAGCUUAGGGGAUUAAGGUUGCAGUGAGGCAUAAUCACACCAGUGUAUUCCAGCCUGGGUAACAGAGCCAGACUCAGUCUCAAAAAAAUCAUUAUAUUGUGUACAAUAGUUAUCCAUUUUUUAUUUGUGAAAAAAUCUAAGUUGGCCGGGCACAGUGGCUCACGCCUGUAAUCCCAGCACUUUGGGAGGCCAAGGCAGUCAGCAGUUCGAGACCAGCCUGGCCAACAUGGUGAAACCCCGUAUCUACUAAAAAAUACAAAAAUUAGCUGAGCGAGGCGGCAGGUGCCUGUAGUCCCAGCUACUCGGAAGGCUGAGGCAGGAGAACCACCUGAACCCGAGAGGCAGAGGUUGCAGUGAGCUGAGAUUGUGCCAUUGCACUCCAGCCUGGACAACAGAGCAAGACUCUGUCUAAAAGAAAAAAAAAUUUAGUAGAGACAGGGUUUCACCA